UACGUAGGUGGCGAGCGUUGUCCGGAUUUACUGGGCGUAAAGAGCGCGCAGGCGGUCGUACAAGUCGCGUGUGAAAGCCCCCGGCUCAACUGGGGAGGGUCACGCGAUACUGUUCGACUCGAAGGCAGGAGAGGGAAGCGGAAUUCCCGGUGUAGUGGUGAAAUGCGUAGAUAUCGGGAGGAACACCAGUGGCGAAGGCGGCUUCCUGGCCUGUUCUUGACGCUGAGGCGCGAAAGCGUGGGGAGCGAACAGG
rnacentral:rRNA from 1 species